rnacentral:rRNA from 1 species
UACGUAGGGUGCGAGCGCUAAUCGGAAUUACUGGGCGUAAAGCGUGCGCAGGCGGUCUGUUAAGACCGAUGUGAAAUCCCCGGGCUUAACCUGGGAACCGCAUUGGUGACUGGCAGGCUUUGAGUGUGGCAGAGGGAGGUAGAAUUCCACGUGUAGCAGUGAAAUGCGUAGAGAUGUGGAGGAAUACCGAUGGCGAAGGCAGCCUCCUGGGCCAACACUGACGCUCAUGCACGAAAGCGUGGGGAGCAAACAGG